rnacentral:rRNA from 1 species
GACAGAGGGUGCAAACGUUGUUCGGAAUUACUGGGCGUAAAGCGAGUGUAGGCGGUCUCCUAAGUCGGGUGUGAAAGCCCCGGGCUCAACCCGGGAAGUGCACUCGAAACUGGGAGGCUAGAGUAUCGGAGAGGUUGGUGGAAUUCUCGGUGUAGAGGUGAAAUUCGUAGAUAUCGAGAGGAACACCGGUGGCGAAGGCGGCCAACUGGACGAAUACUGACGCUGAGACGCGAAAGCGUGGGGAGCGAACAGG